rnacentral:rRNA from 1 species
AACGAACGCUGGCGGCAUGCCUAACACAUGCAAGUCGAACGAGACCUUCGGGUCUAGUGGCGCACGGGUGCGUAACGCGUGGGAACCUGCCCUAGGUCCUGAACAACCCCCCGGAAGGGGGGGUUAAACCCGGUAAUGUUUUCGGACCCAAGAUUUAUCGGCCUUGGGUGGGUCCGAGGUGCGUUCGCUAGUUGGGAGGGGAAAAGCCUACCAACGAGAGGAUCCAUAGCCGGGCUGAGAGGACGAUCAGCCACUCUUGGUCUGAGACACGGCCCAGACUCCUACGGGAGGCAGGAGAGGGGGAUAUUGGAAAAUGGGGGAAAGGAUGAUCCAGCACUGCCGGGUGAGUGAUGAAGGCCUUAGGGUUGUAAAGCUCUUUUACCCGGGAUGAUAAUGACGGUACCGGGAGAAUAAGCUCCGGCUAACUACGUG